GGUUAAGCGACUAAGCGUACACGGUGGAUGCCCUGGCAGUCAGAGGCGAUGAAGGGCGUGCUAAUCUGCGAUAAGCGCCGGUAAGGUGAUAUGAACCGUUAUAACCGGCGAUACCCGAAUGGGGAAACCCAGUGUGAUUCGUCACACUAUCAUUAACUGAAUCCAUAGGUUAAUGAGGCGAACCGGGGGAACUGAAACAUCUAAGUACCCCGAGGAAAAGAAAUCAACCGAGAUUCCCCCAGUAGCGGCGAGCGAACGGGGAGGAGCCCAGAGCCUGAAUCAGCAUGUGUGUUAGUGGAAGCGUCUGGAAAGGCGCGCGAUACAGGGUGACAGCCCCGUACACAAAAGCGCAUGUGCUGUGAGCUCGAUGAGUAGGGCGGGACACGUGGUAUCCUGUCUGAAUAUGGGGGGACCAUCCUCCAAGGCUAAAUACUCCUGACUGACCGAUAGUGAACCAGUACCGUGAGGGAAAGGCGAAAAGAACCCCGGCGAGGGGAGUGAAAAAGAACCUGAAACCGUGUACGUACAAGCAGUGGGAGCACCCUUCGGGGUGUGACUGCGUACCUUUUGUAUAAUGGGUCAGCGACUUAUAUUCUGUAGCAAGGUUAACCGAAUAGGGGAGCCGGAGGGAAACCGAGUCUUAAUUGGGCGUUAAGUUGCAGGGUAUAGACCCGAAACCCGGUGAUCUAGCCAUGGGCAGGUUGAAGGUUGGGUAACACUAACUGGAGGACCGAACCGACUAAUGUUGAAAAAUUAGCGGAUGACCUGUGGCUGGGGGUGAAAGGCCAAUCAAACCGGGAGAUAGCUGGUUCUCCCCGAAAGCUAUUUAGGUAGCGCCUCGUGAAUUCAUCUCCGGGGGUAGAGCACUGUUUCGGCUAGGGGGCCAUCCCGGCUUACCAACCCGAUGCAAACUGCGAAUACCGGAGAAUGUUAUCACGGGAGACACACGGCGGGUGCUAACGUCCGUCGUGAAGAGGGAAACAACCCAGACCGCCAGCUAAGGUCCCAAAGUCAUGGUUAAGUGGGAAACGAUGUGGGAAGGCCCAGACAGCCAGGAUGUUGGCUUAGAAGCAGCCAUCAUUUAAAGAAAGCGUAAUAGCUCACUGGUCGAGUCGGCCUGCGCGGAAGAUGUAACGGGGCUAAACCAUGCACCGAAGCUGCGGCAGCGACACUGUGUGUUGUUGGGUAGGGGAGCGUUCUGUAAGCCUGCGAAGGUGGCCUGUGAGGGUUGCUGGAGGUAUCAGAAGUGCGAAUGCUGACAUAAGUAACGAUAAAGCGGGUGAAAAGCCCGCUCGCCGGAAGACCAAGGGUUCCUGUCCAACGUUAAUCGGGGCAGGGUGAGUCGACCCCUAAGGCGAGGCCGAAAGGCGUAGUCGAUGGGAAACGGGUUAAUAUUCCCGUACUUGGUGUUACUGCGAAGGGGGGACGGAGAAGGCUAUGUUGGCCGGGCGACGGUUGUCCCGGUUUAAGCGUGUAGGCUGGUUUUCCAGGCAAAUCCGGAAAAUCAAGGCUGAGGCGUGACGACGAGGCACUACGGUGCUGAAGCAACAAAUGCCCUGCUUCCAGGAAAAGCCUCUAAGCAUCAGGUAACAUCAAAUCGUACCCCAAACCGACACAGGUGGUCAGGUAGAGAAUACCAAGGCGCUUGAGAGAACUCGGGUGAAGGAACUAGGCAAAAUGGUGCCGUAACUUCGGGAGAAGGCACGCUGACAUGUAGGUGAAGUGAUUUACUCAUGGAGCUGAAGUCAGUCGAAGAUACCAGCUGGCUGCAACUGUUUAUUAAAAACACAGCACUGUGCAAACACGAAAGUGGACGUAUACGGUGUGACGCCUGCCCGGUGCCGGAAGGUUAAUUGAUGGGGUCAGCGCAAGCGAAGCUCCUGAUCGAAGCCCCGGUAAACGGCGGCCGUAACUAUAACGGUCCUAAGGUAGCGAAAUUCCUUGUCGGGUAAGUUCCGACCUGCACGAAUGGCGUAAUGAUGGCCAGGCUGUCUCCACCCGAGACUCAGUGAAAUUGAACUCGCUGUGAAGAUGCAGUGUACCCGCGGCAAGACGGAAAGACCCCGUGAACCUUUACUAUAGCUUGACACUGAACAUUGAGCCUUGAUGUGUAGGAUAGGUGGGAGGCUUUGAAGCGUGGACGCCAGUCUGCGUGGAGCCGACCUUGAAAUACCACCCUUUAAUGUUUGAUGUUCUAACGUGGACCCGUUACCCGGGUUGCGGACAGUGUCUGGUGGGUAGUUUGACUGGGGCGGUCUCCUCCUAAAGAGUAACGGAGGAGCACGAAGGUUGGCUAAUCCUGGUCGGACAUCAGGAGGUUAGUGCAAUGGCAUAAGCCAGCUUGACUGCGAGCGUGACGGCGCGAGCAGGUGCGAAAGCAGGUCAUAGUGAUCCGGUGGUUCUGAAUGGAAGGGCCAUCGCUCAACGGAUAAAAGGUACUCCGGGGAUAACAGGCUGAUACCGCCCAAGAGUUCAUAUCGACGGCGGUGUUUGGCACCUCGAUGUCGGCUCAUCACAUCCUGGGGCUGAAGUAGGUCCCAAGGGUAUGGCUGUUCGCCAUUUAAAGUGGUACGCGAGCUGGGUUUAGAACGUCGUGAGACAGUUCGGUCCCUAUCUGCCGUGGGCGCUGGAGAACUGAGGGGGGCUGCUCCUAGUACGAGAGGACCGGAGUGGACGCAUCACUGGUGUUCGGGUUGUCAUGCCAAUGGCACUGCCCGGUAGCUAAAUGCGGAAGAGAUAAGUGCUGAAAGCAUCUAAGCACGAAACUUGCCCCGAGAUGAGUUCUCCCUGAGACUUUAGGUCUCCUGAAGGAACGUUGAAGACGACGACGUUGAUAGGCCGGGUGUGUAAGCGCAGCGAUGCGUUGAGCUAACCGGUACUAAUGAACCGUGAGGCUUAACCUU
rnacentral:rRNA from 2 species